ensembl:lncRNA
CGCCUGUGAUGCAAAAAGCUGUAUCAAGCUGAGACAGAAUCUUCGGAAUCAAGUCUCUGGACAUAUCCAGCACAUUAUCUGGAAGUCCAUCCUGGUGGGUGCCAAUGUCCUGGUGUAAGCUAUUGACUUUCUUCAGGAGUCGAAUGACCAGCAUAGAGACCAAGGAGGCAUAGUCAUUCUUGUUGGACUCUAACAGACGUAGGUGACAUGAAAUGGUGACUCCUUCACACUGACUAUUUUGCAUCAAAUCUGUAUGUUUGUCAAAAGUACGAGGGAGCAGAUUGUUUGAGUUAGUGGUGGAUGAUCUAGUUUUAGUGUCAUGUGCCUGUUUGUCUAAGAGUUUCUGAUCCUCCUUAACUAAUUCCUUCAAGUCAGAAGCAUCAUUUUCUUUUAACUCUGUGGAGAGUGCCACCAUGGCUUCGUUGGUCAUCACUUGUGUGAAUACGUUAAUAGUACUUCCAAACACCUCAGGUGAUGAUUUUGAGGUCUCUAGAUUAUGCUGUACAAGUUCUUGAUUGUCAGAAGAUGCUGAGGGGAACAAACAUGACAGGAGUAGUCGCUUCACAGCCUCCUCUUCAUAACUGUAAAUUAACUCUGAUGGAAUUUCAUUCUUUCCCUCAGCUCCAGAUGGUAAUUUGCAAAGAAUAGAAUCUGAAAGACUCUUUCCAACUGGCACAGAAAUGGUCUGGAGACCAUGAUAACUUUUUAGUGUCUUUUGUACGUGAUCUGCAAUAUCAAAGGAAUAUUGACCUAUUUGAAUUUCAGUGAUCAAUUUAUCCAGUCUUCGAGUGAUGGGUACAAGUUUUUCCCAUUCUAAGAUGGUGUCUAACACACUACUGAUGGUUUCAUUUGCACAUCCAGGAGACAAUGAAGCAGCAUCCAUGUCAACAAAAGUAUGCGUCAGAAGAGGGGAAAUCCUUUCGAUAAACACUUCAGGGAGAACAGAAGUACCAGGGAGUUUGGUUUGGUCAUCUAUUUCUGAGUGAAAUGAUACUGAGGAGUGUGACGAUGGCAAUCCAGGGCUUUGUGAUCUGUCUGUUUCUGUUUCAAUGUCAAUCACUUGUACUUCAUUCAACAUAGCACUAAGGAUCUUAUCAAUCAGCUCUACCUGCUCUAGAUUUUCCGCCGUCUUGAGAUCGGGAAGUUCACUCUGCAUGGACACAAUUACUUGGCUAGUGACACUGAUGGCAGAAGCCACUGUCAUUUUCUUUUUACUGUCACAGUGAACAGAUUUGGAAAACAAUUUCCCCACCAUGUUCUGAAUGGCAUUGAACAUUCUUUGAGAUGUUGUCCUGUAGAUCCUCAUUGGAACAACAGUUCCUAGGGCUCGUGUUUUCUCCAAAGAGAGAAAGACCAGAGUCAGAAAUAUUAGAUUAACAGUAAUAUGCGAAAGAUUUUACGUUGGCAAAAUCAAACUCACAGGCACACAUAGAGCGUCACUGACAAUUCUCCAAUGACUGCAAAAGAGAAAAGAAUUUUAGAACAUUGGAACUUAAUGAUCCGACAGGCAAACACAGAGUUUUUUUUAAACUUGUCUCUUACUCUUCCGUCAUGUUUUCCACAAGGUGGCGUAUCAUGGGGGAGACGUUCAUACGAUCCAGAUCUGAAAAAGCACUAGUUUUAUUUUUAAGAUAUUGGGCAUGGAAAACGUCAAUUUUAGCAAUUUUAGGUCUUUGGGCAGAGAGGAACUUGUACUGACUGUUCUUUUAUAUACUAAAACUCUUUUUGACUACUUUUAUUGACAAACUUUUCAUGUCUGAAUUUGGCAUAGACUAACCUGCAUCAAACCUUUUGGUCCUCGUUGUAGAACUACAUUCAGCUCUUGAUUCCUCAAAAGAUUUUUUCUUUGGCUAAGGCAAAUCAAAUAGUUAGUUGUAAUCAUCAGUUAAUUGUCAGCAGUCAGUCCCUCCAGGAUUUUGGAAUGAAACACAAGUCAUGGACUUUCUGCAUCACUUGCAAUUGAUCUUAUUACAGUGCAUGCAAUACAUUGUACUGUUAUUCCUGGGCUUCUUAUUAUUAUGCUUAUUCUUUCAGGAGUUUCUGCAAAUAAUUCAGUAAUUUACAAAACCUAUGUUAUUUUCAUUUCUUCUACACUUUUCUAUAUUCUUCAACACAUU